rnacentral:rRNA from 1 species
UGGGGAAUAUUGCACAAUGGGCGCAAGCCUGAUGCAGCCAUGCCGCAUGUAUGAAGAAGGCCUUCGGGUUGUAAAGUACUUUCAGCGGGGAGGAAGGGAGUAAAGUUAAUACCUUUGCUCAUUGACGUUACCCGCAGAAGAAGCACCGGCUAACUCCGUGCCAGCAGCCGCGGUAAUACGGAGGGUGCAAGCGUUAAUCGGAAUUACUGGGCGUAAAGCGCACGCAGGCGGUUUGUUAAGUCAGAUGUGAAAUCCCCGGGCUCAACCUGGGAACUGCAUCCGAUACUGGCAAGCUUGAGUCUCGUAGAGGGGGGUAGAAUUCCAGGUGUAGCGGUGAAAUGCGUAGAGAUCUGGAGGAAUACCGGUGGCGAAGGCGGCCCCCUGGACGAAGACUGACGCUCAGGUGCGAAAGCGUGGGGAGCAAACA